rnacentral:tRNA from 1 species
UCCUAGAUAGCUCAGCGGCAUAGCGGCGGACUGUGAAUCCGCUGGACCCUGGUUCUAUCCCAGGUAUCGGAG